rnacentral:rRNA from 1 species
GACGUAGGGCGCGAGCGUUGUCCGGAUUUAUUGGGCGUAAAGAGCUCGUAGGCGGCUUGUUGCGUCGACUGUGAAAACCCGCGGCUUAACUGCGGGCUUGCAGUUGAUACGGGCAGGCUAGAGUUCGGUAGGGGAGAGUGGAAUUCCUGGUGUAGCGGUGAAAUGCGUAGAUAUCAGGAGGAACACCGGUGGUGUAGACGGCUCUCUGGACCGUAACUGACGCUGAGACACGAAAGCGUGGGUAGCAAACAGG